rnacentral:lncRNA from 1 species
UCUCUAAGCUAUAUGGGUUGUGUAUUUGAUAGUCCAUCUAUAGAGCCGUGUAAAAGGGUGUUAAGUGUUAGGUGGCCACUCAUAAUAUUAGGUCAGGUGAGUGAAGUGGCCGAAAUGCCCUCGCCCAAUGUCAUCAACCACUGUAACAUAUCUCAAAUUUGAAGAACAAAAAUAAUCAAAAUUCAGAAAACACGACCAGACCCAACAAAAUUAAACAAAAAAAUCAGCGCAAUUUCGCAUUCACAAAUUACGCAUCGGGGAAAAUAUACCAACCACAACAUGUGCAACAUAAGCUUCGAAAUCAGAUUCAGAGCGAAAUUGGGUACUACCCUAAAAAUCAGAUUCAUAAGCUUCGAAAUCAGAUUUCAAGCCUUUCCUGCUUGUAUUUGGAGGAGAAAGAGAAUCCCCAACAAUAUCAAGCCUUUCCUGCCUGAAUUUCACCGCCGACAUUGCGAAUUUGAGCUCCAAAGGCUCGAUUUUGAAGUCCGCAAACGAUGCCUUCGACCUCGGCCGGAAGUUGUGACUUGGGAGCUCGAAUUGAUUGGCAAGAACAUUAGUAAUAGCAGAUUUAGCGGCUUUGCUGGUUUGAAUAAGAGUAGCAGCAGCGACAACUUUGAGGUGAGAAAUUAGACCUUUUUUCCAAAGAAAAUCAUGACAUCUUCUUCAAAAUUCAUGGUGAGAUUUUUUUUUCUAAUUCAACCGAGGGCAGGGUCGGCGGGUAUGGAGAGGUCGGCGAGGCUGUGUCCGGCUAAGGGCACCGCCUCUCGUCUGUUCCCCCUCUCGAUGCCUCGCUCAAUUUCUCAACCAAGAAACUCUCUCAAACCAUCGUGUAUCUAGCAGCAAUUUGUUGUUGAGCGGCGAAUCAAAAGCUGAAUUUUUCGAUGUGAAUUGGGGGUAAUUAUGCCAACGAAAAUUUAAACAAGGAAUACUGUAGCACCCAGCUUCCCUAACUGAUGGUCACCCUCGGUUGUGUUUCCGUUGGAAAACAGUGGUUUUUGCUCGGGCCCGUGCUCAAACUCGGGUUGCUCGCCUUUUGUUGCUUUCCUAUCAAACGCAGGAAAAGGCCUAGCUAAGCAAGCAAUAAGGCCUUAACUAGGCUUUCAAACACAGCCUAAGAGCAUGAGUAACGCAUUACUCGAGUGCCUACUCGAGUAGGAGUAUUGCACUCGAGUAGGGCGUUGCAGGUGAGUGCUACUCGAGUCUUCGAGUAUGCACGAGUAAUUUUCUUUUUUUUCCUUUUUUUUUAAUUCUCUUCUCCUCUUUAAAAAUUUCUCUCUCCUCUUUAAAAACUAAAAAAAUCAAGUAGGCUAUCAAGUAACCCCAAUGCAGCACUACUUACUCAAUAACACAACCACUAUCAAGUAGGCUAUCAAGUAAGCCCAUUGCGGAUGCUCUAAGUGUUUAAGAACUAUUGCUCUUCAAGAGUAUGUAAUAUUCGAGAAUAAACAUAUGUAUUGCUCUUCAAGAGCAUGUAAUAUGCAUCAUGAAUAUUAUUGUGCAACUUUGGGAGCAACAAUAUAUGAAUAAAAAAUACUCC